UACGUAGGGUGCAAGCGUUGUCCGGAAUUAUUGGGCGUAAAGAGCUCGUAGGCGGUCUGUCACGUCGGCUGUGAAAACCCGGGGCUCAACCCCGGGCCUGCAGUCGAUACGGGCAGACUAGAGUGCGGUAGGGGAGACUGGAAUUCCUGGUGUAGCGGUGAAAUGCGCAGAUAUCAGGAGGAACACCGGUGGGGAAGGCGGGUCUCUGGGCCGUAACUGACGCUGAGGAGCGAAAGCGUGGGGAGCGAACAGG
rnacentral:rRNA from 1 species